UACAGAGGUCUCAAGCGUUUGUUCGGAUUCAUUGGGCGUAAAGGGCGCGUAGGCGGCUCGGCACGUCCGUUGUGAAAUCGCCCGGCUCAACUGGGCGGGGUCAGCGGAUACGGUCGAGCUUGAGCAAGCUAGGGGGCAAUGGAAUUCCCGGUGUAGUGGUGGAAUGCGUAGAUAUCGGGAGGAACACCAGUGGCGAAGGCGGUUGCCUGGAGCUUUGCUGACGCUGAGGCGCGAAAGCGUGGGGAGCGAUCCGG
rnacentral:rRNA from 1 species